GGACCGCUAGCUCAGCCGGAUAGAGCGGCGAACUUCUAAUUCGCAGGUCCAUGGUUCGAAUCCAUGGCGGUCCACCA
rnacentral:tRNA from 1 species